rnacentral:rRNA from 1 species
CUACGGGAUGCUCCAGUGGGGAAUAUUGCACAAUGGGCGAAAGCCUGAUGCAGCAACGCCGCGUGAGGGACGACGGCCUUCGGGUUGUAAACCUCUUUUAGCAGGGAAGAAGCGAAAGUGACGGUACCUGCAGAAAAAGCACCGGCUAACUACGUGCCAGCAGCCGCGGUAAUACGUAGGGUGCAAGCGUUGUCCGGAAUUAUUGGGCGUAAAGAGCUCGUAGGCGGUUUGUCGCGUCUGCUGUGAAAAUCCGAGGCUCAACCUCGGACCUGCAGUGGGUACGGGCAAACUAGAGUGCGGUAGGGGAGAUUGGAAUUCCUGGUGUAGCGGUGGAAUGCGCAGAUAUCAGGAGGAACACCAAUGGCGAAGGCAGAUCUCUGGGCCGUAACUGACGCUGAGGAGCGAAAGCGUGGGGAGCGAACAGGAUUAGAUACCCCAGUAGUC